rnacentral:rRNA from 1 species
AUGAUGCAGCAGCUGCAGCCGACGCGGAUGCACUGGGCGAGGGCCGUCCCCUCCGACUUCGGCGGCCAAGCCCCCGCCCCUCGCAGCGGGCACACGGCGGUCGCCAUCGGCGGAUCCAAGGUCGUCGUCUUCGGCGGGUUCGCGGACAAGCGCUUCCUCGCCGACAUCGCCGUCUACGACGUCGAGAACAGGCUAUGGUACACGCCGGAGUGCAGCGGCAGCGGCCCGGACGGGCAGCCAGGCCCCAGCCCGAGGGCCUUCCACGUCGCCGUGGUCAUCGACUGUAACAUGUUUAUCUUCGGCGGCCGCUCUGGGGGCAAGAGGUUAGGUGACUUCUGGAUGCUCGACACCGACAUUUGGCAGUGGUCGGAGAUGACUGGCUUUGGCGAUUUGCCGUCUCCCCGGGAGUUUGCUGCCGCAUCAGCCAUAGGAAACAGAAAAAUUGUCAUGUAUGGUGGUUGGGAUGGCAAAAAGUGGCUGUCUGAUGUAUAUGUCAUGGACACAAUGUCACUUGAGUGGACAGAACUAGCAGUUACUGGAUCAGCGCCACCUCCAAGAUGCGGACAUUCUGCCACUAUGAUUGAGAAGAGACUGCUUAUAUUUGGAGGCAGAGGUGGAACUGGGCCGAUAAUGGGUGAUCUCUGGGCUUUAAAGGGUAUUACUGAAGAAGAUAAUGAGACACCAGGAUGGACGCAAUUAAAGCUGCCAGGACAAUCUCCCUCUGCACGAUGUGGUCAUUCAGUGACUUCUGGUGGACCUUAUCUCUUGCUAUUUGGUGGACAUGGAACUGGGGGUUGGCUAAGUAGAUAUGAUGUGUACUACAACGAAUGUGUUAUUUUAGACAGGGUCUCUGUUCAAUGGAAGCGCUUGCCAACAAGUAAUGAGCCACCCCCUCCUCGGGCAUAUCAUUCUAUGACUUGCAUAGGGCCUCGGUUUCUUUUAUUUGGUGGCUUUGAUGGAAAGAAUACCUUUGGCGAUUUGUGGUGGCUUGUUCCUGAAGAUGAUCCUAUUGCCAAGCGGGACUUGGUUCCUGAUGUUGGUUCAGACAGCAACCAUAGCACUGUGACUGGUGAUGCCCAACAGUCUGCAGUGAAGGAAUCAGAAUCACAAUCUGAUGAAUCUCCAAUGUUGGAGUUGGCCAAACGAUUGGGGAUUCCACUUUCUAUAGAACCUUCAGCAAGUUUUGUUGACGAAAUCAAUGAUAGAGAACUAGUGGAAUUAUCAUCUAGGCUCAUUGGUGAAUCACUUCCUACCACCGACCAGCUUGCAUGUAUUCAGGCACUUCGUGAUCAUUGGAGAAGUUCUCCAUCCAGCUCAAUACAGCUCCAGGAGCUAGGCCCUCUGCUGAGGGACUAUCAACGUAUCAUUAUCCGUCGCUUUGUGGAAAACCCAUCCCCGACAUUCCUUGAAAGGGAAGAUCACCGACUCUUCCAUUUGAAAAAUGCCUCGCAGUUGCGCAUGGAUGACAUCCCGAUCUUACUGGGCGAGUAUAGAACUCUGCUUUCCACCUGA